rnacentral:tRNA from 1 species
UUGCCGCGCGGGCGGCCGGGGCGCUGCGCGGCUUGCAGCGCGGGGUGGGCCUGGGCCGCGCCCAGGGCGGCGGC